AAAAAGUGAAACAAAAUAUGUUUGUUUUUAUGCCCCGCCAUGAAUAUGGCCGGGGCAUAUAGUGUUUGUCAUGUCCGUCUCCUGUCUUUCCGUCCUUCCGUCACACUUUGCGUUUAGCUCAGUUCAAAGCUCAGUUUCAAAGAAACUAUCCAAGAUAUUUUCAUCAAACUUCAUAGGAUGAUAGACAUUGAUGAGAGCUAUGCAACUGCAUCAACAUUUUUUGACCUUGACCUUUCCUUUGACCUUGACCUCACUUUUCUUAAGUGAGUGUAAAGCUAAGUUUUGAAGAUACCAUUCAAGACAGUAUUAUCAAACUUCAUAUGCUGAUACAUGCUGAUGAGAGCUAUUCAACUGCGUCAACAUUUUCGGCCUUGACCUUUCCUUCAACCUUGACCUCACUUUUCUUAAAUGAGUGUUUAGCUCAGUUUUAAAGAUACCAUUCAAGAUAGUGUUAUCAAACUUCAUAUGCUGAUACAUAGUGAUGAGAGCUUUUCAACUGCAUCAACAUUUUGACUUUAACCUUUCCUUUGACCUUGACCUCACUUUUCUUAAAUGAGUGUAUAGCUCAGUUUUAAAGAUACCAUUCAAGAUUGUGUUAUCAAACUUCAUAUGCUGAUACAUACUGAUGAGAGCUAUUCAACUGCAUCAACAUUUGACCUUAAUCUUUCUUUGACCUUGACCUCACUAUUCUUGAAUGAGUGUUUAGCUCAGUUUGAAAGAUACCAUACGAAAGCGUUAUCAAACUCAUAGGCUGAUACAUACUGAUGAUAGCUUUUUAACUACAUCAAUAUUUUUGACCUUAACCUUUCCUUUGACCUUGACCUCACUUUUCUUAAAUGAGUAGUUUUAAAGAUACCAUUCAAGAUAGUGUUAUCAAACUUCAUAUGCUGAUACAUACUAUUCAACUGCAUCAACAUUUGACCUUGACCUUUCCUUUGACCUUGACCUCACUUCAUAAAUUAGUGUCAAACUUCAUAUGCUGAUACAUACUGAUGUAAGCAAUUUAACUGCAUCAACAUUUUUUACCUUGACCUUUCAUUUGACCUUGACCUCACUUUUAUCAAAUUGUGAUUAAGUCAGUUUUAAAGAAACCAUUAAUAUUUUUUUCAACUUCAUAUGCUGAUACAUACUGAUGAGAGCUUUUCAACUGCAUCAACUUUUUUUUUACCUUGACCUUACCUUUGACCUUGGCCUCAAUUUUCUUAAAUUAGUGUUAAACUUCAUAUGCUGAUACAUACUGAUGUAAGCAAUUCAACUGCAUCACUAUUCAAGAUAUUCUGAAAUUUCAUACACAGAUUCAAAUUUUCAUGUUGCAUUACUGAUAUAACCUCGGCGGGGCAUUCAUGUCCUAUGGACAUAUUUCUAU